UCAGGCUAGAGUGCAGGAGAGGAAGGUAGAAUUCCCGGUGUAGCGGUGAAAUGCGUAGAGAUCGGGAGGAAUACCAGUGGCGAAGGCGGCCUUCUGGACUGACACUGACACUGAGGUGCGAAAGCGUGGGUAGCAAACAGGAUUAGAUACCCUGGUAGUCCACGCCGUAAACGAUGUCGACUAGCCGUUGGGGUCCUAGAGACCUUUGUGGCGCAGUUAACGCGAUAAGUCGACCGCCUGGGGAGUACGGCCGCAAGGUUAAAACUCAAAUGAAUUGACGGGGGCCCGCACAAGCGGUGGAGCAUGUGGUUUAAUUCGAUGCAACGCGAAGAACCUUACCUACCCUUGACAUCGUGCGAACUUUCCAGAGAUGGAUUGGUGCCUUCGGGAGCGCACAGACAGGUGCUGCAUGGCUGUCGUCAGCUCGUGUUGUGAAAUGUUGGGUUAAGUCCCGUAACGAGCGCAACCCUUGUCCCUAUUUGCCAGCGAUUCGGUCGGGAACUCUAGGGAGACUGCCGGUGACAAACCGGAGGAAGGUGGGGACGACGUCAAGUCAUCAUGGCCCUUACGGGUAGGGCUACACACGUGCUACAAUGGCCGGUACAAAGGGUUGCGAAGCCGCGAGGUGGAGCUAAUCCCGAAAAGCCGGUCUCAGUCCGGAUCGGAGUCUGCAACUCGACUCCGUGAAGUCGGAAUCGCUAGUAAUCGUGAAUCAGAAUGUCACGGUGAAUACGUUCCCGGGCCUUGUACACACCGCCCGUCACACCAUGGGAGUGGACUGCACCAGAAGUGGUUAG
rnacentral:rRNA from 2 species